rnacentral:rRNA from 1 species
UACGUAGGGGGCGAGCGUUGUCCGGAAUCACUGGGCGUAAAGGGCGUGUAGGCGGCAAGCUGCGUCGGGGGUGAAAUCCCCGGGCUCAACCCGGGGGGGUCCUUCGAAACGGGCUGGCUAGAGGGCAGGAGAGGCGAGCGGAAUUCCCGGUGUAGCGGUGAAAUGCGUAGAUAUCGGGAAGAACACCCGUGGCGAAGGCGGCUCGCUGGACUGUGCCUGACGCUGAGGCGCGAAAGCUAGGGGAGCAAACGGG